AACGAACGCUGGCGGCAUGCCUAACACAUGCAAGUCGAACGAGACCUUCGGGUCUAGUGGCGCACGGGUGCGUAACGCGCGGGAACCUGCCCUUAGGUUCGGAAUAACUCCCCGAAAGGGGUGCUAAUACCGGAUAAUGUCUUCGGACCAAAGAUUUAUCGCCUUUGGAUGGGCCCGCGUUGGAUUAGCUAGUUGGUAGGGUAAAAGCCUACCAAGGCGACGAUCCAUAGCUGGUCUGAGAGGAUGAUCAGCCACACUGGGACUGAGACACGGCCCAGACUCCUACGGGAGGCAGCAGUGGGGAAUAUUGGACAAUGGGCGAAAGCCUGAUCCAGCAAUGCCGCGUGAGUGAUGAAGGCCUUAGGGUUGUAAAGCUCUUUUACCCGGGAUGAUAAUGACAGUACCGGGAGAAUAAGCGCCGGCUAACUCCGUG
rnacentral:rRNA from 1 species